CUUUAUUGUUUUAUGUUGAGAACUUUCUCAAGGUACGAUCUUGUGGAUUUGACACGUCAAGCACUUCAGGAUUUCUCGAUUCCGAUCUACAAGCAGCUGGUGAACGAAUAUAACAACAAAAGUGCAACCGGUGUAAGAAAUGCUGGCAAUGUGCUGUUGGAGUUGCUGAGAGAUAUGGAUCGUGUUCUACUGACAGACAAACACUUUUUAUUGGGUAGAUGGUUAAACAGUGCAAAAGCUCGUGCAGUAAACCAUCAGGAAACGGUUCUCUACGAAGUCAAUGCUUGUAACCAGAUUACACUUUGGUCAGAUGGUCCAUAGCAAUGGAUUGUAUCACGUGACCUUGUCCCAGACCUCGCGUAGAAGGACCUCUGGAAGUAAAGAAAGGCCUAGUGUCGAGGCUAGGUUAGCAGGUGGUUUCAUCAAAUGGGUCUGAUUGUAGAAUCAAGCAUUCAAUGCUACCAAAUUUGAAUCGUUGGAUGUCGCCUUUGGAUUGAAGUGGACCACAGCAAUGAAUAGUUAUCCUGACAGAGCACAAGGUGAUACGGUAUCUGUUGUGCAAGAGCUCCACAAGAAAUACCGACCACAUUUGUAUGGCAACUGAAUAGCCAUGAAAUUGAGCCAGCCGGUCUCAAAUAUCCAUGCACUUUCAUACCACAUGUUUCGAAGUUGAAACUGGGUACUGAGUAAUCGAGAUAUUAAGAAUUAAUAUUGCCUCAGUUCAUGUUUAUGUGACAGUCAGUCUGGACUUAGUAGGAAAAAUCAACAAGAAAUAAAUUGGAACACUUGAA